CCAGGUAGCUCAGUCGGUAGAGCAGUGGACUGAAAAUCCUCGUGUCGGCAGUUCGAUUCUGCCCCUGGC
rnacentral:tRNA from 1 species